rnacentral:rRNA from 1 species
GAUUCUGGCUCAGGAUGAACGCUAGCUACAGGCUUAACACAUGCAAGUCGAGGGGCAGCAUGGAGUUGCUUGCAAACUCUGAUGGCGACCGGCGCACGGGUGAGUAACGCGUAUCCAACCUUCCCUAUAGUAGAGGAUAGCCCGGCGAAAGUCGGAUUAAUACUCUAUGUUUUCCGUUGCAGACAUCUAAGAUGGAACAAAGGCUUGCCGCUAUAGGAUGGGGAUGCGUCUGAUUAGGUAGUCGGCGGGGUAACGGCCCACCGAGCCAUCGAUCAGUAGGGGUUCUGAGAGGAAGGCCCCCCACAUUGGAACUGAGACACGGUCCAAACUCCUACGGGAGGCAGCAGUGAGGAAUAUUGGUCAAUGGGCGAGAGCCUGAACCAGCCAAGUAGCGUGCCAGGAUGACGGCCCUAUGGGUUGUAAACUGCUUUUAUGCGGGGAUAAAGUUCACUACGUGUAGUGUUUUGUAGGUACCGCAUGAAUAAGGACCGGCUAAUUCCGUGCCAGCAGCUGC